rnacentral:rRNA from 1 species
GACGAACGCUGGCGGCGUGCUUAAUACAUGCAAGUCAACGACUUUUAGAGUAGCAAUAUUCUAAAGGAAGUGGCGCACGGGUGAGUAACACGUAGGUAAUCUGCCUUCAGGACUGACACAACUCGUCGAAAGACGGGCUAAUAUCAGAUAAUGCAGCGGCUCCGCAUGGAGACAGUUGUUAAAGUACAAGCGCCUGAAGAUGAGCCUGCGGUCCAUUAGCUAGUUGGUAGAGUAAAGCCUACCAAGGCAACGAUGGAUAGCUGGUCUGAGAGGAUGAUCAGCCACACUGGAACUGAGACACGGUCCAGACUCCUACGGGAGGCAGCAGUAAGGAAUAUUGCUCAAUGGCCGAAAGGCUGAAGCAGCAACGCCGCGUGAAGGAUGAAUGGCCUUUGGCCUGUAAACUUCUGUAAAAGGGAAAACAGUCAAGGUAUAAUCCUGAUUUGAUU